UUUAACAGAGAAUUUCCUUUGCUUUUCUUUUCGUCUCUAGAACAAUAAGUUUCCUCCCAGCUUAUCUCCAACAAUUUGAGACCUGCUUGAUCAUGUUUAUCUUUAAUAAUUUAAUCAUCUUUUGUGACUUGGUCAACACCCCCCUCCCCAUGUUGGAAGGGCGGUGAGAACACCCAACUUGCCCAGAAGACUAUGAUAUACCCGUCCGGAGAGAGAUUUUAUGAAGAGAUCUUUAAUUUGUGAGAAAGAUCGAACAAAGGAUAGUGAAAUCAAACCUGCUAAGAAUUGUUGUCGAACAAAAUGGCAAUCUAAGUGCACGUGCUUGGUUCUUUCAUGAAAGACCGGAUUUUUGGCGAUAUGAAUCGCAGCUUGACUAUCUGAGUGAAGAUGAGCUGGAAGAGAGAUAGGAACAGAGAGAUCUGCAAAUAAUCGCACAAGCCAUGUCAAUUCUGCAACUACUUGCCUCAUCGAACGGUAUUCUUCCUCGGCUGAACUAAGAGAGACAGAUGUUUGUUUCUUCGACUUUCAUGAGAUUGGGGAACCUCCAACAUAAAUAUAAAAGCCACUGAUUGAGCGACGCGACUCAGGAUAUGUACCCCAAUCUGAGUCACAAAAUGCAAGAAGUUAGAAAGAUUGUGAAGAACUCCUGAAUAAACCCAAACCAGGAUCUUUGAGCAAAUAACGAAGGACUCUCAGGGCAGAGUCUAAGUGAGGUUUGCGGGGAUCUUACAUAUAUUGACUUAGGUGUUGGACAGUGGAAUAAAGGUCGGGUCUUGUAUGGGUAAGGUAGUUCAAUUUUCUAAGUAGUCGACGAUAAAAUGUAGGAUCUGCAAUUGGAGUACCUUCUCCCACUCAGAGCUUGACAGAAGAAUCUAGUGGUGAUGAGACAGAUGUGAGCUGAAGAGAUUCAUAUUCCUGGAGUAAAUCCAUGGUGACUUUCUGUUGACAAAGGAUCAAUCCAUCAGGUUCUCUCAAAACCUCCAUUCCCAGGAAGUAAUGUAAGUCCCCUAAGUCCUUAAUUAUAAAUUCUUGAUCAAGGAAAACCUUUAAUGCAUUUAAUUCCCGCACAUCAUUACCAGUAAGAAGAAUAUCGUCAACAUACUCCGCGACGAUAGAAAUUGAUGAAUCUUUCCUCUUAAAUAACAAUGAAUAAUCAUUCAGCGAAUGCAUAUAACCUUUAAAACGCAAAUCUGCAGUCAAUUUGGCAUACCACUGCCGAGAUGCUUGAGACAGUCCAUAGAGUGAUUUUCUGAGUUUGCAAACAUGAUUAGCAGUAGGAGGAGUCAUAUCGUUAGGAAAAUACAUGUACACUUCUUUAUUUAGGUCGCCAUGUAAAAAGGACAUUGUUCACAUCCAACUGAUAAAGUCCCCAUUUUUUCUUUACUGCUAUAGCUAAGAGAUAUCUGAUGGUAGUCAUCUUGACAACCGGAGAAAAAGUCUUCGUGAAGUCAAUUCCUUCACGUUGCGUUUCACCACGAAUUACAAGUCUUGCUUUCAGUCUUUCGAUGGUUCCAUCUGAAUUUUGCUUAACAUUAUAAACCCAUUUGUAGUGUAAAGCCUUUCUUCCAGGAGGCAACUUAACCACUUCCCAAGUAUCAUUGAGAAUAAGCGUAUCAAUCUCUUUUUCCAUUGCUUCUUGCCAAUCAGGAUGCAAAGAAGCUUGGUAAUAGCUGAUUGGUUCUUGAAUCUAGGAUAAUGAAUUGAGAAAAUGUCUAUUUGAAGGAGAGCGUGCAGUGAAAGAAAAUGAAGGUGCAGUAAUAGGAGACAAAAAACAGGUAGAGGAUACAUCUGUGAAUUGUACUGCACUACCUAUAUAAUCAUUCAGAUAUGAUGGUGUUGUAUGAGUUCUAGUAGAUUUACGCAAAACUGGUGGAGAAUUAGUCUGAAUAGUAUCAUCAAAAAAGGUGGUACUGAAUCUUUUGAUGGUGAGUGUGAUAAAUCAGAUGAAUAUGAUAUAGGACUGAUUUCAAUACUAACAAGUGAGGCAUCAUAUUGAUAAUUUGUGACUGAAGUGGGAUUAGAAGUACUUGACAAAGAAGCUUGAUGAUUUGUGGCUAAAGUAGGAAUAGAAGGAAAGAUAGAACCAUUAAAUUUGUUAGAAGGAUUGGAACUAAAUGGAAAAUAGUCUUCAUGAAAAAUUAUAUUUUUAGAUAUAAUGACCUUCCUAGUUGAUAAACUUAGAAGCUUAAAUCCCUUUUUACCAUAUGGAUAUCCAAGAAAGACAUAUGUUUCAGCUCUAGGUCCAAACUUAGUCCUAUGAACUGUAGAUGUGGAUGCAAAGCAUAGGCACCCAAAGUACCUCAACUAAGAAUAAGAAGGUGCAAAUCCAAACAAAACUUCAUAAGGAGUCUUAAAACCAAGAACCUUAUAAGGAAACCUAUUUAUUAGGUAGGUGGCAGUUAAGAUGCAUUCUCCCCAAUAAGUAAUAGGAAGGUGAGACUGAUAUAGGAGUGCUCUAGAGGUUUCCAGUAAGUGCUUGUGCUUAUGCUCGACUACUCCAUUUGUUGAGGCGUUGAUGUACAUGUAGUUUGGUGUAUGAUCCCUUGUAAGAGUAAAACAUAUUUCUGAACAGUUCUCGUUCCCAGUUCAAAUGCAUUAUUUGAGCGUAUGAUUUUAACUUUUGUGUUAAAUUGCCUUUCAACCAUUGCCAAGAAAGAUUUUAAGAUAGGAAAAACAUUAGACUUAGUUGAGAGCAAAUAGGUCCAAGUUCCUCUACUAUAGUCAUCAACUAUAGUUAGAAAAUACUUAAACCUAUUGUAACUAGGAGUGUUUUACGGUCCCCAUAUAUCAAUGUGAAUUAGAUCAAAAAUCUGUUUUGUAGAAAUUGAACUUGAGGGGAAAGGCAAUUUUUAUUGCCUCGCAGGGGGACAAACAUCAUAAGGGGAAGAGAAUUUAAAGACAUUGACUGGAAUAGAUGAAAUAUUCUUCAUAUUAUAUAAGGGAAAAUGGCCUAAACGACAAUGUCAUAGCCUUUAUUUUACAUGAGACCUAAUAAAACAAGAAGAAAAAACUGGAACAACUUGACUUUUACACAAGUUUUUUUUCUAGAAAUUGGAAUACAACUAGAACUAGGUAAUUUUUAAAAAUUGAUAGGUAGAUGUCUUGACUGCAUGAUGUAUAGACCUCCCUUCUCCUCAUCAAGAACCAGAGGCCUCUUCAAAGAAGGGCCCUGCAAGAUACAAUCAGUAGAAGAGAAAUAAGAAGAAAAAACUAGAACAACUUGACUUUUACACAAGUUUUUUCUAGAAAUUAGAAUACAACUAGAACUAGGUGAUUUUUGAAAAUUGAUAGGUAGAUGUCUUGACUGCAUAAUGUAUAGACCUCCCUUUUCCUCAUCAAGAACCAAAGGCCUCUUUAGAGAAGGGCCCUACAAGACACAAUCAGUAGAAGAGAAACAACAUAAGUAACUGAAUUGUUUGCAUAAUUUGUGAACUGAUAAGAAAUUGAAUCUGAAUGUAGGGACAAAAAGAACAUUAUGCAAAAUCAGGUUAGAAAAUAAAGCAACUGACCCUGAAUGAGUUACCUUAACUCUAUAGGAAUUAAGAAGAUUGACAGUCAAAGGAAAGGAUAAUAACUUUAAUUUUAUUAACACACUCUUGUUAAAAGUCAUAUGCUCAAAAGCACCACAGUCUAAAAUCCAAUAAUCAUUGUUAAUAUGCGUGAAACAAGAGGUGCAAUUAUAAGAAGGGGCCAUACCAGCACAGUUGGCAUUAACAACAACAUCUGAAGUUGAAGGACUUUGUUGAUCAAAUUUCAAUUGUUGCAAGAGAUGGGAAAUCUGAGCCAAAUGAUUUGUGAGUAAGUGAUCUUCCUUCCAUGUUUUAUUCAUUAUUAUGAACAAGCUUGCCUUCAGAUUCUUCGUUAGCAUUUGUAACAUUUCCCUGAAUUGUUGCCUGAUAUUGUUUUGACUUUGUGAACUUAAAAUAUCCAUAAAAACCAUGGAUCCUAUGAUAUUUAUCAACACUAUGACCUUACUUCUUACAUUAAGCACAUGUAGAUGUAUUACUUUUGCUGUCAGAGUUAAAUUUCUGUCCCUUUAAAUCUCCAGAAUUGAACCUCUUUAUCCCAAAAUUAUGUCCAUCAGCAAUAAAUGAAGCAGACUCUCCUGGAUAUGCAGGAUUAGGAUGAAUUUCACGCUGAUUUUCAUCUUGUAUGAUAAGAGAAUAAGCCUCUCCAAUGGAAGGCAAAGGUGAAGAUAUAAAAAUGUUGCUUAUGACUCUUAUGUAAGAUUCAUUCAAUCCCAUUAAAAACUACAGGAGUCUUUGAUCUUUUUGUGCCUUAUGAUUUUUUACUUUGGCUCCACAGACACAUUCACAAACACUGUUAGAGAAAGUAUUAAGAGCAUCAAGCUCAUCCCAUAAACACUUCAUCUUAGUGAAAUAGCUUGCAACAUUAGAGUUACCUUGAGGUCUUUAGUACUUUGAGAAUAAAGAACAUUUUCAGCAAUGUCCUUGGAAAGAGAGUUCAAGAGCCAAGAUAGAACCAUGUCAUUGCAUCGACUCCAAGACCUAAUGAGAGUAGAGUCAGAUUCUGAAAUAGGGAGAGUGCCAUCAAUGAAACCAAGCUUGUUCUUGGCUGAUAAAGCUAUUAAAACAGCACACCUUCAACCUCCAAAACCUUUUCCAUCAAAAACAGAAGUAACCAGAUUCAUACCUGGUGAGUCUGAUGGGUGAAGAAAGUAAUGGUGAGAAGAAUCAAUCACAAUGGUUGCAGUAGAUUGAGUUGCACCACUGGAUUGGGAAUCAUCUGCAAUAAUAAAGCUAGGAUCCAUUGAAGAUGAUGAGAGAAUGAAAUGAACCUUGCUUCUGAUACCAUGUAAAAACAGAGAUACAAUUGAGAGAAAUUUCUUCUGUAUAUUUCAUUUCAAUCCUGUACAUUCUACUUAUACAAACUACACAAAACAAAAUGACAAAUCUCCUUACAAAUUUGUACAAUAUAUUUAUUGUAUUUGUCUCUUUAGAAAGGCUAAACUACAAAAGUGUACAAAAAUAACUUGUAUACAGCUAUAGCUCAUAUGCUUGGCACAUGUGGAAAGAUCUAAAAUAAUAAUACUCUUGUUGGCAAAUAAAUUGUUGGAUCCCUGCCGCGUACUGUAAUUUGUAGUGUAACAACCCGGUCGAUCGUUCCGAGAGUUGUAGCCCCAUUUUUCUCA